UCGAACGAAUAGCAAUACUUAGUGGCAGACGGGUGAGUAACAUGUAGGUAUCUUCCCUUUGGUGAGGAAUAACACGAGGAAACUUGUGCUAAUACCUCAUAAGUCUUUACGGAGAAAGCUUUAUGCGCCGAAGGAUGAGCCUGCACUUGAUUAGUUUGUUGGUGGGGUAAUGGCCUACCAAGACUUUGAUCUAUAGCUGAUCUGAGAGGAUGAUCAGCCACAUUGGGACUGAGACACGGCCCAAACUCCUACGGGAGGCAGCAGUAGGGAAUAUUGCACAAUGGAGGAAACUCUGAUGCAGCGAUGCCGCGUGAGUGAAGAAGGCCUUUGGGUUGUAAAGCUCUUUCGUCGGGGAAGAAAAUGACUGUACCCGAAUAAGAAGGUCCG
rnacentral:rRNA from 1 species